rnacentral:rRNA from 1 species
CCUACGGGUGGCAGCAGUGGGGAAUAUUGCACAAUGGGGGAAACCCUGAUGCAGCGACGCCGCGUGAAGGAAGAAGUAUUUCGGUAUGUAAACUUCUAUCAGCGGGGAAGAAAAUGACGGUACCUGCCUAAAAAACCCCGGCUAAAUACGUGCCAGCAGCCGCGGUAAUACGUAGGGGGCAAGCGUUUGCCGGAUUUACUGGGUGUAAAGGGGGCGUAGGCGGUGAUGCAAGUCAGAAGUGAAAGCCCGCAGCUCAACUGCGGGACUGCUUUUGAAACUGUAUGACUAGAUUGUAGGAGAGGUAAGUGGAAUUCCUAGUGUAGCGGUGAAAUGCGUAGAUAUUAGGAGGAACACCAGUGGCGAAGGCGGCUUACUGGACUGUAAAUGACGCUGAGGCUCGAAAGCGUGGGGAGCAAACAGGAUUAGAUACCCCUGUAGUC